AGAAAAAUAAGCUAAGUAUAAGCUAAUGGGUUCAUACCUCAUAAAUGGAUAUUAAUCCUUUUUCUA
rnacentral:tRNA from 1 species